UACGUAGGGCGCAAGCGUUGUCCGGAAUUAUUGGGCGUAAAGAGCUCGUAGGCGGUCUGUCGCGUCCGUUGUGAAAACUCGAGGCUCAACCUCGGGCUUGCAGUGGAUACGGGCAGACUAGAGUGCGGUAGGGGAGACUGGAAUUCCUGGUGUAGCGGUGGAAUGCGCAGAUAUCAGGAGGACCACCGAUGGCGAAGGCAGGUCUCUGGGCGCAACUGACGCUGAGGAGCGAAAGCAUGGGGAGCGA
rnacentral:rRNA from 1 species